rnacentral:rRNA from 1 species
GACGAACGCUGGCGGCGUGCUUAACACAUGCAAGUCGAACGGAAAGGCCCUGCUUUUGUGGGGUGCUCGAGUGGCGAACGGGUGAGUAACACGUGAGUAACCUGCCCCUGACUUUGGGAUAACCUCUGGAAACUGCGGCUAAUACCGGAUAGGAGAUCCUGCUGCAUGGUGGUGGUUUGAAAGUUUCGGCGGUUGGGGAUGGACUCGCGGCUUAUCAGCUUGUUGGUGGGGUAGUGGCUUACCAAGGCUUUGACGGGUAGCCGGCCUGAGAGGGGGACCGGCCACAUUGGGAAUGAGAGACGGCCCAGAAUCCUACGGGAGGCAGCAGUGGGGAAUAUUGCACAAUGGGCGGAAGCCUGAUGCAGCAACGCCGCGUGCGGGAUGACGGCCUUCGGGUUGUAAACCGCUUUCGCCUGGGAAGAAGCGUGAGUGACGGUAAUGGGUAAAGAAGCACCGGCUAACUACGUG